CCAGUUUCUCACUGUUUGAUGGUAGAUUAUCUUCUUUAUCUUCAACUGAAUGCCAGAUGGACAGGCACAAUCUUCACCCUAGAGAUACAGCUGCUGAGGAUCACGGGGAUGAAAGGUGUGAAUUGGGUUCACACAGCUAGUGCAUUAGGACACCAGAAAAGGAAGAAAAGACAGUGGCAGCUGAAGACAUUUCAGGAAUGCUUCACUGAGAACCUAAGUCUUGUUCUGGGCCAUAAAGAAAAAGAGAGGGUGUGGUUUCUAUACCAGAGAUAAGAAAGGAGAAAAUUGGACGUGGAGGAAAGAUACGAGUACCAAUCCGAGCGAACAAGGAAGA